CACUCCUGCGGGAGGCAGCAGUGGGGAAUAUUGGACAAUGGGCGCAAGCCUGAUCCAGCCAUGCCGCGUGAGUGAUGAAGGCCCUAGGGUUGUAAAGCUCUUUCACCGGUGAAGAUAAUGACGGUAACCGGAGAAGAAGCCCCGGCUAACUUCGUGCCAGCAGCCGCGGUAAUACGAAGGGGGCUAGCGUUGUUCGGAUUUACUGGGCGUAAAGCGAACGUAGGCGGACUAUUAAGUCAGGGGUGAAAUCCCGGGGCUCAACCCCGGAACUGCCUUUGAUACUGGUAGUCUUGAGUUCGAGAGAGGUGAGUGGAAUUCCGAGUGUAGAGGUGAAAUUCGUAGAUAUUCGGAGGAACACCAGUGGCGAAGGCGGCUCACUGGCUCGAUACUGACGCUGAGGUGCGAAAGCGUGGGGAGCAAACAGGAUUAGAUACCCGAGUAGUCCCAUGA
rnacentral:rRNA from 1 species